rnacentral:lncRNA from 1 species
CUUAGGGAGCUCUGAAUUUGGUAAAGAAGCAAAACAAGUCAAUCAGCCAUCACGAAGUGCUGCUGUCAGCAAGGUCUCCAUGGCGUGUGGGAGGACACAAAGGAGAGGCAUCUAAAUUAAGCUGGAGUCAAGAUGGAGAAACUACAGCCCAGAGAGGGGAGUGAUUUUCCCGUUGUUGCACAUCUCAUUAGUGAAGAUGUUAAAGAAGAGUGUCACAUGGAGGAAGAAGGAAACUGAAUCUCUGUGUCUCCAGAAGGCAGUUCUAGGACCAGUGCAUGGGAAUUUCAGGGAACAGAUAUGGGUUCAUGUUAAGGAAAAUCUUGCUAAGUGAGCUGCUCAAUGCUGCUUUUAAAGAUGAGCAAACUGAGUCUCAGUUGCUAUGUCCAGCAUCACAGUAGGUACUAAGUAAAUGGAGGCACCAAGAUAUCCACUCAGGUUUGACUUCAAGUCCAUGCUAUAGAAUCACAAAGGACAGCAAUGCUCAUAUCAUGAUGGAUCAGCCUCUCAGAGGAAAACUCUGAAAGCAGGGUCUGGCUCUAUAGCCCAUGCUGGAGUGCAGUGGUGAGAUCUUGGCUCACUGCAACCUCUACCUCCCAGGCUCAAGACAUCUUCCCACUUCAACCUCCCCCGUAGCUGGGACUACAGGCAUGUGCCACCACACCUGGCUAAUUUUUGUAUUUUUAGUAGAGACAGGGUCUCACUUUGCUCCCCAGGCUGUUCUCAAACUCCUGAGCUCAAGAGAUCCCCCGACCUCGGCCUCCCAAAAUGCUGGGAUUACAGCUGUGAGUCACCACGCCUGGCCCCAACCAGUAAUUCUUAGGUAAGAGAGAGAGGUGCACCAGGGAUGCUGGUAGGAAAAGGAAUUCAAGUCCUACUAAUAAUACAAUAUUAAUGCUCUCACAGAUCUAAGAGAGCUCCUAAUCAACAUUUUAUUUUCAUUUUGGGGGUAUUUGAGGCCCUAAAAGGGAAAAUGAAGAGCUAUUUGAAGUCUUGGCCAAUAACUUCAAUGAUCCAUUCUCUUCAAUCAGAACCAGUGCUUGGCCACUAGAGAAAAAGUACAUACAGUUACAAAUUGAUGGUCAAGUUGCCAACUGCCAUUUAUUGGGAAGUAUCAAUAUGGUACUUCUGUCUCUGAGCUCACCAUACUGGCUACUGGCACCAUUGAGCUCAUGAGUCAAGUUAUGGUUCUACCUGACUAGUUAUUUCACUGUUUUCUGAACAUUUUCCUCAUCCUUCGCUCUCUCACGGAAUAAUUUUCCUUGCUUCCAGUCUAAAAUGAAGCAAAAAUUAAGCCUCAAAGAAACUGUUUACCUCUGUGAGACAGUGUAGUGAAUUCUUAUAAUUUUAAGUUGCCUCAGCAUCCAUUUUGAAUACAAGUUUAAGUUUCUCAUACCAAGAGCAGCAAUCAAUUGCCCUUGACACAGUUUCAAGUUCCACAUGACACACAAAUGGCUCAAGCUAGUGGCCAGAGAUAAAACUUAGAGGCAUCCCUCCUUCCUAGCAGGCUAGACCCCUCGCUUUCUGCACCUCCUGUAAAUAGACUUUUAGGCAUUUGCCUGCAUACUUAAAGUGACCCACACCCUAUUUCCUUAUAUAUACUGCUAGUUGUCAUGUGUUGUCUCUUUCUCUUCCUGAAUUUUCAUUUCUACCUCCCAUGACCCAUGACCUGGGGCCAGAAGACUGCCCUGCGAACUCAUUGAGCACUCCCUGCCCAGAAUCUGCAGGGAUACCCCUCAUCUCCUUGGUUGACUGACAGACUUCAGUUCGGGUUGUGCUUCAAGAACCAGCACAAAUGGCACCUCCUUUAUUCAGUUAUUUACCUGAACUCCCACAAUAGAGUGAAAUUUGCACAUACCUUAAUCAGAACAAAUGGAUUUCUGUAGAUAUUCCUUGGAUUUGUUAUGGAUUUAUGCUUGUGCAUCAUGAGCCUAUUGAAGCAGAUUCGACAGGCCUCUGUGCUGGCAGCUUCAGAAAUGCCUUUGGGCUUGUCACAUGUUGAAAACUCCCAACUGGCUGUCUGAAUUGGCAACCAUGCUUUGGCUCACUGGAGAGAAGAGAGAAAUGGUGCUUUUUGUCCAUCUACUGAUAACCUCUCAUGGCAGAUCAAAGGAACCAGGUUUUGAUGACUUACAGCUCACACAAGGUCAUCCUGGGAAAACAGAUCCUGAGAAGUACUGCAGAGCUUGUGAAGUACUGCACUGGCUGGUGUCUGGAUUCUAGAGUUUAUGAUCUGCUCCAAAGCCAGAGAGGUGAUGACUAGAAGGUAGAUAUGAAUUGGGGACAGUGGUGUGCUGAUAAAUAUUUAACAACCAGCUCCCUGGGGGAAAAAUAUGUGCAUAUGUACAUGUACAUAAGUUUAUUAUACAUUUCACUCAUAUACAGGACAAGUAGCACACAAUUUACAUGUUAUAUAUAUAAAAUAUACAAUAAUCUUUAUUAUAAAUUCCAUAUAGCUAAUUGAUUCUCAUAGAAUACAUUAGUUAAUUUCUGUUGAACUCUUGUAUUCAUGGCCAAGCUAUUAUUGCAAUCCAACCAUUAUUUGACAAUAUCAGCCUGCAAAUAAACGUUUAAAUACUGUCUGGUUC